GCAUAUCAAUAAGCGGAGGAAAAGAAACUAACAAGGAUUCCCCUAGUAACGGCGAGUGAAGCGGGAGGAGCACAAAUUUAAAAUCUACCUGGUUUCCAGGUCGAGUUGUAAUUUGAAGAAACGUUUUUAAUGUUCCGGGCUGGGAUAAAUCCUUUGGGAUAAGGUAUCAUGGAGGGUGAGAAUCCCGUGUAUACCAACCGCAGGGAUGUUAUUUAAUACGUUUUCUAAGAGUCGAGUUGUUUGGGAAUGCAGCUCUAAAUGGGUGGUAAAUUUCACCUAAUGCUAAAUAUAAGCGAGAGACCGAUAGCGAACAAGUACCGUGAGGGAAAGAUGAAAAGAACUUUGAAAAGAGAGUUAAAUAGUACGUGAAAUUGUUGAAAGGGAAACGAUUGAAGUCAGUCAUGCCGGCGGGAAUCAACUUAGGGGAAACUUUAAGUGCACUUCACGUUUGGCAGGUCAGCAUCGAUUUUGGAUGUCAUAAAAUGAUUGGGGGAAGGUAGCUCCUUCGGGAGUGUUAUAGCCCUUGGUAGAUGUGAUGUCUGGGGAUCGAGGAUUGCAACGGAUACCCUUUGGGCUAGCCGCCUGAUCUCUAACUAGUGUUGGGUUACGGACAGCAUGCUGACCGUGAUUUAAUUAUUGGUUAAAAGGUUAGAGCGAGUGUAAAUUCGUUAAGGGUGCUGACGUAAUGGCUUUAAACGAC
rnacentral:rRNA from 1 species